UGACAUCCAGUCUGGUCUUGUACAGCUUUUAUUGUAAGUUUACAAUUCAAAGCACAAACUACUUGAACGUACCACUGAAAAAAGGAAAACACAUAAAGGUAUGAAUGUUAUUUUCUUCAAAAGCCCAUCAUGUGACAUGAGAGGAAACUAAUACUGGAAACUGAAAAGACUUAAUAUUAUAACGCCAUACAAUGUUCUCUGUACACAAUUGGUGACCACAAAGAGUACAAACUGAAUUCCCUGUUUUGCAGUUGAAACUGUAAGUAUAUUUAUGUGACAUUCAUUCUAACGUGCCAGGCUGAACCAACGUUUCAGUGUAAACCUUUAACUCAGUAAACUGUAAACAAUCACACAGCAAAAUCAGGUUUAGUUAUACAACAUGGAGAGUAUGUAAUAUGUGAAUAUCCAUUGAAAACAUCAAUGAAAAGCUGAAUGAACUUCAAUACAAAUAGUAGAUAUCAGUCAACAUGUCUGCUGCACGUAUACGUCCUACUCUUUGGUUCUAAGGUUACCACAUCGGUCACUGAUGUCAUCAAAGUAGUUGUCAGCGAAGUGAAGCAUCUGUUCAACAGCGCUUAGCAGCAAGAUGUCGCAGCUCAUGUUCACCUCCAGCUCCUCGCUGUAGUUCUUCACGGGAAUAACGCAGGACAUCGGCACACCCAGCCGAGCACUCGCUUCCUUCAUCUGAAUACCAAAGAAAUAUUUUUCAGACUGUCUCUUGUUACUUCCUACCUGUUCAAGAGUUUUAAAGUAAAGUAAUGUGAGCUAUAAAUAUUAACUGUAUUGAUAUGAUUGCCUGCCACCGUAUUAAAGUAAUGAACACAAAACAGAAAAUGUUUUUCUGCGUACACCCUUAAACCUCACCAUUUGCUUGAUGUAGAAACUCUUGUAAACGUUUCUCACAUCCUCUGACACCAAAGGACAAGCUUCGUCCACUUUAGUCAGCAGGACCAGCUGAGGAACUCCUGAAAACACCAGAGCAGAAAAAACAUUUUCAUAAUGCUGCAGAUUUGUCAGUAUCUGAUUUAAAAUACUGAACAAAUAAUGCAGCUGCGAAAUGCCAAAAGUUCAUGUUGUGCUAAAAUUUAGAAAACAAUGCUGAAAAGAAGAACUGACCCAUCAGGUUGACCUUCUUGCGGAUAGCAUCUAGCUUCUCCUCUAGCUUUGAGGGCAUGAUGGGAACCUUGCAGGCAUCAAUAACAUAGACCACACAAUGGAUCUUGUCCUUCAGCCCAGGAGACUCCUGAUAACCAUGAGCCUCCAAAUUCAGAGGGGCAGAAGGGUUGAACUGAGACGUACAGAAGAUUGGAGAAAAAAGGGAAACGUUAGCAGUAAAUCAAUGACUCAUACCAACAAUAUCUGACUGUGUGGCAAAAGCUGAACCUGAUAGCGAUCUGGUAGAUGGCCUCUGAGUAUGCUGUUGAUGUCAUCCAAGUUAAGCCCUGCCCCUGUACUUUCCUCAAGCCCCAUGGUAUCACACAAGACGAUUGGUAGUGGUUUUCCUUCUCGCCCGUCUUUCAAAAUGUAGGUGCGAAACUGUUUAAGAGAAGAGUGUAUAAGUUAAAAAAGACUGAAAAAAAAAAACAGUCCUGAAAACCUUCAGUCGUUGAUGUAAAGAUUCUGACCUGUGUGGUCAGGCUGGUGGUGGAGGAUCCAGCCAUAGCUUGGCUGGUGACAUGGCCUCUGAAAACAGAGUUGAUAGAAUUGAAGAAGCUGGACUUUCCAGCUCCAACUGGUCCAAUGAGCAGGACUCGAGCCUUGGACACAGAGCUGACUAACGGUUUGUACGUCCUUAUAUACUCCAUCAGCGCUGUCCUCUUCCUGUAGAAAAGACAGAUGCUCAAGUCGUAUAUACAUGUUAAAGUGUUAGAAAGGCACAUUGUCUGACUAAUUAUACUAUACCUGAUCAAGCAGAAACAUGUGACUCUAGUGGUGUGUGGGACACAUUCAAUAUGACUAUAUGUUGUGUAGUGUUGUUAAGUAUAACCACCUUUUCCACUGACAUAAAUAAUGCACAAGUCAUUAUAAUGAAAGUAAAAGUAGUAAUAAAGACUCUCAACAUCUUACUCAGUUUCCCAGGUCACAGCUCUCCACGGUGUCUCCAAUUCUGUAGCUUCUAAUUAAGAGCAGAAAAACCAGAGUUUAAAACAAUGACACAGUAAAACCAUCCACAAUGUCCCCUUUUUUCUCUGUGAGAGCAUGAAACACUGACAAAACAGGAUCACAUACAACUUUUCAAACCUACCCCAAAACAACCCUUAGAAAAGCUGAUGCUGCUUUUUUAUAUAAUGAAGAGAAGUCCCAAACAUACUGCUCACCCUCAACUUGAUAGACUUCACACUCGGUCAGGUUGAGAUCAUUGCCGUGCAUCUCAGCAGCAUCGAAGUUGUAGUAAUUUCCUGGACAGCUGUAGACCACAGGUUGGUUUCCAUUGACCAGCACCAGUGCCUCUCCAAAAUAAGGUCCAGCAUUAGCAAACAUUUUUACAGCAUAUACAGGGCCUGUGACUGGAUAUUUGAGGAGCCUUCCUCUGUUAACUGUAAAUAGAAAGGCCUGAUCAUCAUUCAUAUACUGUCCAGAUUGGCUGAAUGGUUGUUUGGUGUAGCCUCCAAAAACAAAACCAGAGCCAUUGUAGCCCACAGAAAUUGUAGGGCUGCGGUUGUCACAUCGUUGGUGGAAGGCUGCGCCAGUGAAACCAUGAAUGCUGGCCUUGUAAAGCAGUUGCAGUUUGACUCUUCCCAGAUGGGAGCAGAUUGUUCUCUGCUGGCUCCUGGUAAGUUUGGGGUCCAUGGUGAACAGUCGAUCUGCUUCAGUAGGCUGUGUGACAGAGGCUGAGUGUGGAGUCUACGCAGAAAAUGAAACAUGGAUCAAAAAUGUGCAUUUGAUUUGUAGACUCAAAGAAAUGAAUCAUGUAUCAUAUUGAAAAUUAUCCUUUGCAAAAGCUCUGAAAGGUUGAUUCUGUAAAAUCAUGAUACUAGAUACAAGAGCCAUAACUUGAAUUGAAGGGUAAUCGUCCUCCGAGUCACUAGGGGGCAACCAAUAGUGAUUUAAGUGGCAGCUGAGUCUCGCCACAGGUGUUUAAAAUCCAGAGGGAAUCAAACCGUUUUUGACUUUGCUCUCAUUCAUGCUUGUGUUUUUUAUUUAUAGUUUAUGUGUAUAAUUGUUAACCUCUGCUUAAUGGAAGCGACAUACAACACAAAACUGCGGUAAGAGAAUGAAACACAUCGUAACUGUUAACUAUUCAUUCAGUAGUAUACGUCCAAAAUAUAGGCCCAUCAACAGCAGCCAGUAGAGACUAAAAAACAAUUCAGUUAAAACAUCGACUGAGACAAACUGUGAUUAUUGUAUUCCCUAAAGUGUCAUUAUUUUUAACCUCCCCAUUUGUUAAAAAUAACACAAAAAUAACAAUUUUUUAGUCACUGGCUUCACUUAUACUGUUUAAGAAGAAACAAACUGUAUUCACUAAGUGUAACUGAGGUCAAAAAGUUCUUCAAAGUUUACAAAGGGGAAGUAAAACAUCUUUUAUUUCGUUUAAAGGCUAAGUUGUUUACACCUGCUUUAAUAGGGGAAUAGCUACGUUGUUGGAUUUAUCCACCUAUCUAAUCUACUCAUUUCCACUCAUCUGAGUGGGACAGCACAGCCGUUCUGACAGGCUAAACUAAUUAACCCGGUACAGCUGAAAUAUGUAAUCCCUCCAGUGGGCUCUAUGUCGGCUAGGAUCCUCCAAAUCUAAAACCCUAGACCCCCUUUCCGGUUCUCCCUUCAAUAGGAGAGAGUCCGGGGUCUCUAAAUGCCUUAUUUCCUCAUUCCGCGUUGCUGUUUUCUGACUUUGGUAUAAAAAUCGAGCAAUAACAGAAAGGAAAGUUUUAUUCCUUACCUUCGUGUCUCGUAAACAGCUCGGGAGACUGAUUCAGGAAAAAGAAAUGUCCGAGAAUGGCUGCUGUGGGGAUGACUGCAGGGUACAGGGUGUGUACUUCAGCAGAAAUGAAACUGAAACUGAAAAUGACUCUUAUACAAGCUGCUUCAGUACAAAACUGGACGCAGAUUUCCGAGAUAAACGUGGGUGAACACAAUGUUAUUAGGGAUGCACCGAACCGAUAUUUGGAUCCGAUAUCGGCUGCGAUAUUGACAAAGUAACUGGAUCGAUAUCUGAUGAAUGAUGCCGAUCCAGCGUUCCAAUCCAGUCUUUUUUUCUUUUAAUUAAUAUCAUAUACAGCAACACAGAGAUUCUGUUCACUCUUUCUACACCUCUGUCACACUAUGUCUGUCUAUCCUUUUGCACUAAACCUUUACAAAGAAGUCUUACUUCUUUUUGCUGUGUGCUAAUGUGCAAUUUGUUAUUUGUUAAUAAAUAAUAUUAGUAAGAAUAUAUCUGUGUUAAUUUGUUACCUUUUUUAACAAGGCUAAUGUCAAGCCUGAUGCUUUCACUCGCAGGGCAAAGUAUAAAGUUUAUUUAUUUAACAGUAGUAUUGGAUCGGUAUCAGAUAUCGGCCAAUACGUUUAGCCCAGGAAUUGGUUUCGGACUGGAUUGGAAAAAAAUGGAUCAGUGCAUCUCUAAAAAGUGCCUCUAGUAGCACCUUAUUACCUUAAAAUACC
rnacentral:lncRNA from 1 species